rnacentral:rRNA from 1 species
AACGCGAAGAACCUUACCUGGGCUUGAAAGUUAGUGACCGGCUCUGAAAGGAGCCUUUCCGAAAGGACACGAAACUAGGUGCUGCAUGGCUGUCGUCAGCUCGUGCCGUGAGGUGUUGGGUUAAGUCCUGUAACGAGCGCAACCCCUACCAUUAGUUGCCAGCGGGUAAUGCCGGGGACUCUAAUGGAACUGCCUGCGUAAGCAGCGAGGAAGGUGGGGAUGACGUCAAGUCAUCACGGCCCUUACGUCCAGGGCUACACACGUGCUACAAUGGUCGACACAAUGGGUUGCUACCUGGUAACAGGAUGCUAAUCUCUAAAGUCGGCCUCAGUUCGGAUAGAGGUCUGCAAUUCGACCUCUUGAAGUUGGAUUCGCUAGUAAUCGCGCAUCAGCAAUGGCGCGGUGAAUACGUUCCCGGGCCUUGUA